AUCUACCACCGUUGCAGGCAUAAUAAAGGCUAACUCUACCCGGCUAAAAACUUCGACCCACAAGACUCUAGUAGUCUCGCAAUGUAGCAAAAGGUGUUCCACUGUCUCGCCAGAUCUCUUGCACAUGCAACACCAGUCUAGUAUAACUAAUUGGCGCUUUCUCAGAUUGUCGGUAGCCAGAAUCUUCCCCAAUGCUGCUGUCCAAGUAAAGAAGAUCACUUUCGGAGGUGCCUUAUUUCUCCAAAUUCUCCUCCACGGGAACGGGGUGGUGGCGGUUUGGGAAAGAGACUUAUAAAAGGAUCGAACUGAGAAAAUGUCCUUACCCGUGGGAGUCCACCACAGCUUAUCAACUUGCUGACUAUUUGGCUUCACAUAAUAAAGAAAGCUGAAAAAAGCCUCAAAGAUGUCCACUUCCCAGUCUUGCGCCGCUCUACUAAAUGUGACGUUCCACUGCACUUGAUCAUAAGGAUGGUAG